rnacentral:rRNA from 1 species
AUUGAACGCUGGCGGCAGGCCUAACAAAUGCAAGUCGAACGAGUGGCGGACGGGUGAGUAAUGUCUGGGAAACUGCCCGAUGGAGGGGGAUAACUACUGGAAACGGUAGCUAAUACCGCAUACCAUCGGAUGUGCCCAGUUGGGAUUAGCUAGUAGGUUGGGUAACGGCUCACCUAGGCGACGCUCCCUAGCUGGUGUGAGAGGAUGACCGGACACACUGGAACUUGGACACGGUCCAGCCUCCUACGGGAGGCAGCAGUGGGUAAUAUUGCACAAUGGGCGCAAGCCUGAUGCAGCCAUGCCGCGUGUAUGAAGAAGGCCUUCGGGUUGUAAAGUACUUUCAGCGAGGAGGCGUUACUCGCAGAAGAAGCACCGGCUAACUCCGUGCCAGCAGCCGCGGUAAUAC